CCUACGGGUGGCUGCAGUGGGGAAUAUUGGACAAUGAGCGAAAGCCUGAUCCAGCCAUGCCGCGUGUGUGAAGAAGGCCUUCGGGUUGUAAAGCACUUUCAGUGGGGAAGAAAGCCUUGGGGCUAAUACCCUCGAGGAAGGACAUCACCCACAGAAGAAGCACCGGCUAACUCCGUGCCAGCAGCCGCGGUAAUACGGAGGGUGCGAGCGUUAAUCGGAAUUACUGGGCGUAAAGCGCGCGUAGGCGGUCUGAUAAGCCGGUUGUGAAAGCCCCGGGCUCAACCUGGGAACGGCAUCCGGAACUGUCAGGCUAGAGUGCAGGAGAGGAAGGUAGAAUUCCCGGUGUAGCAGUGAAAUGCGUAGAGAUCGGGAGGAAUACCAGUGGCGAAGGCGGCCUUCUGGACUGACACUGACGCUGAGGUGCGAAAGCGUGGGUAGCAAACAGGAUUAGAUACCCCAGUAGUC
rnacentral:rRNA from 1 species